rnacentral:tRNA from 1 species
ACGGGUUUAGCCAAGCGGUGAAGGCGGUAGGCUUUGACCCUACAAUACGCUGGUUCGAUUCCAGCAACCCGUG